CAAUCAUUAUUGUUCAUGUAUGAUAAAAACAGAAAUAAAGAAAACCCUAGAAAAACUAUAUAUUUUCCCUCAUCUUAUCUGACAUCGCAGAGAAAAGGAAAGGUAAAACUGAAAAUGAAAAUGAUGUAUCACCUGAGGAAAUAGGGCUCAGGAUGAAUCUCCUUUAUCCACCACUAUGAGGAGAAACCGCCCAGCACAGGACAGAAGAACUGGUGAAGCGCGGCAAAAGGCAAUGUUUUCGCAAAGCGAUUCUUUCCGCUGAUUAGAGUGAACUACUAGACAUGGGAAGCUAUUUUAGAUUACAUUCAACAAUUCCCUCCAACUAGGGUUUGAUCCUUUCCUUUUCAUUGCCACAUUCUCCAUGCUUCCUGAAUUUUUUCUAUUAAACAAGAUUUUGCAAAGCUCAUGAAUUUAAUUAGUGUAAACGUUUGUCAAAUCUCUGUGUAUUAUAUCUUUGAGGUUUUGAUUUCUGGUAAAACAUGAAUAAAUCAAUGUAGUUUUCCCCAAAAUAUCUCCUGGUUCAAGAAAUCCACCUCCCCAUCAUCCAUGCCAGCCAUUUGUCAAACCCUGAAAUUAAAAAUUAAUUUUUUCUCAAGAAAAUGAAGAUCUGGCAAGCAGGGAUUUAUGAAAUAAUCGUUCAAUAGAGAAAAACUUUCUGCCCUCAAAACCCCAGCCUAGAUUUUUUUACUUUACUGGUAAGGGCAAACUACCCGUCAUGGGAACGUUACCUCCAACUCCGAGGCUCCGUAUUGCGGGAAACAUAGGCACUUCUGGAGAUUUCAAGGUUAACGCAGCUGAAAUAAUCAUUUGUCCGGCCGAACAGAUUUCAUCCUGUUCUCAUCCAAACGAUUAGCAGUCAUCAAACCAAAACUGUAAAAAAUUGAAAAAAGAAAAUAAGUGACAUGGCUCAAAGUUUCCAUUUUAUGACGGUGUCUGCAAUUUCUCCAAACAAAAACCCUAAUCUAUAGUCUCCCUCUUUGUGUAUUUUGUGAGCUUUGACGACUCUGCAGCCAAUUUCUCGAAAAUAUCGUUGAAGGGCAUGUUUGCCAACACCAAUGAAACAUAUACUAGUUCUUAAAAAGUAGUCAAUCCAACAUUAAACAUUCUAAAAUUAGCAGUACGAUGCUUGGUAAGAAGAUUUUUUCGAAAUAUUAAUACACCAGUAUUGUUUAUAAAUCUCUCAUUGGACAGUGAGGCGAUAUGCAAGCUUUUGAGAGUAAGAUCACGCAUUCGAUUUCAAAAUGCAUGUUUAUGGAAACAGAGAAAAGUAUACUGUAAUGAUAUACAAUACUGUGCAUGCAAGAGAAGAAUUUUCUUUUUAAGAAUGUGUCAAUCACUGUUUUUGUUCAGAUAUUUACAAGAGGAGACAUGAUAAAAAAGAAGAAAUCCUCCUAAAUUUGUUGCAUGUAAUGUUGAGGUAACCCCAAACAUUUGGCAUGUUAUUCAUUGGAAUUUGCAGGUCUGGAUGAGAACUCUGAUCUCCAUUUGAGGGAAAACAUUGUUAGGAAAAACCUGAUGAUUCUUAAAACAGAGAGUAAUAUAUGAUAACCAAAUAAAAUAGUGUACAUCUACGAGUGGUAAUUGUUUUCAAAUGGUUCUUUGAUUUUCUAACAUGGGCCAUAUUAUCAGAAUAAUUUCAGAAGCAGUUAGCUUAUUUGAUUUUUAUUUCUUUUUAACUAAAAUAUUUAGAUAUUGUUGAGAUUAUGGUAAUGGAUACAGGCAGCUGCCAGUUGAUAGAUGUUGAAAUAGGUGAAAUGAGUUCGUGCAGUUUGCAAGGAAAUCGUUGACGACAAGACACAUUUUGUAUAGUUUUUACUAAUUGGUAAUAAAUCAAGGAAACCACAAUACCUUUUUCUUUCAGUUUUGCUUUUCAUGAGCCUUUUUUGGGUUUCUUAAAAAAAUUGUCAUUCCAAAUAAUGCGAUUUUGGUAUAUUUGAAUCUUUGUUCUGUAA